AAGGAAACCAGGCUACCACUUCACAUUACCAGACCGAGAAGUUGAUGCGCAAUUUAGGACUUCCAUAUCAUACGAUUGAUGUUUGCCAGAACAAUUGUAUGUUAUUUUGGAAAGAAGACGAAAAAGAAGAUCAAUGUCGAUUUUGUGGCGCACAAAGAUGGAAGCCUAAGGACGACCGUCGAAGAACCAAAGUACCAUAUAGUCGUAUGUGGUAUCUACAAGACAGCUGCGGCUAUGCGAUGGCAUGCUGAGCACCAAUCAAAGGAGGGAGAAAUGAAUCAUCCUUCAGAUGCGGCAGAGUGGAGAUAUUUCCAAGAGUUACAU
rnacentral:sRNA from 1 species